rnacentral:lncRNA from 1 species
AAAAACAAUGACAAAGCCUAAAAAACAUUCUGCCAAAAAGCUUGCCGCCACAAUGGAAAAAUUCCUAGCCAUUUUGGCCAAUGUGGUCACAAGUAGAGUUGCACCGUGCACUUGCUUCAAUCUAAAACCUCAGCCGUCAAAUCUUAUUACUAGCCAUGCCUUGUCGCUGACUGAAGAUCCUGCCAUUCAAGACACUGAACGUGGUUCAGUUUCACUACAACCGGCCACAUCAGAUCCUGCAACCUUUGAGAAUACGAGAUCACCUAAUGGCAGAUCCAUGCUGUGACCCGUGCACCCUUACUGAUCCACCAACC